rnacentral:rRNA from 1 species
GGAUCCCGGCGGCAGUAGCAGCGAAGAGGGGUGGAAAUCCCCUCCGCCGGAAAGGGCCAGGGUUCCUCGGCAACGGUCGUCGGCCGAGGGUUAGCCGGCCCUAACCCGGGCCGUAACACGGACCCGGGGAAGGGGAAACGGGUUAAUAUUCCCGUGCCGCGGGGGUAGACGCGGCAACGCAAGCCCGGCCUCCGACGCCUCCGGAUAGGCGGACCGGGGGCACCCGAAUGGGUGCGACCCGGCUAACCGGUGAAGGCCCUGGAGAACCGUAAUGGUGAGAAGGGGCCGAAGCCGGGAAUGGGACCCCGUAUGGGGUCUUCCGCUGACUCCGGGGGCCCAUGAAAAGGGGGCCGGGAACGAUCCCCCGCGUCCGUACCGAGAACCGACACAGGUGCCCCUGGGUGAGUAGCCCCAGGCGUCUGGGGGAUAACCCGGGCCAGGGAACUCGGCAAAUUGGCCCCGUAACUUCGGGAGAAGGGGUGCCCGCGGUCUGGAGGCAAAAACCCUCUGGACCGCGGGUCGCAGUGCCUAGGGGGGCCUGACUGUUUAAUAAAAACAUAGGUCCCCGCAAGCCCGAAAGGGUGUGUACGGGGGCUGAAUCCUGGCCACUGGCGGUCCGUGAAACCGGGGUACAACCCGGCGAAGCGCCGCUGAAGGCCGGGAGUAACUCUGACUCUCUUAAGGUAGCCAAAUGCCUUGCCGGGUGAGUUCCGGCGCGCAUGAAUGGAUCAACGAGGUCCCCACUGUCCUGGCCCGGGGCCCCGCGAAUACACGGAGCCGGUGCACAGGCCGGCAACCCCCCGCAGGGCGAUAAGACCCCGUGGAGCUUCACCGCAGCCUGGCGUUGGCCUCCGGGCUGCGGCGCGUAGCGUAGGUGGGAGCCAGUGAACCCGCCCCUCCGGGGGCGGGGGAGGCGCCAAUGAAACACCACCCACCGCAGCCCGGAGGCCUUACCCCCGGGGAGAUCCCGGGGGGACAGCGUCAGGUGGGCGGUUUGGCUGGGGCGGCACGCCCGCGAAAAGGUAACACGGGCGCCCAAAGGUCGGCUCAGGCGGGUCAGAGCUCCGCCGUAGAGUGCAAGGGCAAAAGCCGGCUUGACCGGACCCCGGAACACAACGGGUCCGGCCGGGAAACCGCGGCCUAGCGAACGCUCGUGCCCCCCUCGGUGGGGGCCGGGCAUGACAGAAAAGUUACCCCGGGGAUAACAGAGUCGUCGCGGGCGAGAGCUCCCAUCGACCCCGCGGUUUGCUACAUCGAUGUCGGCUCUUCCCAUCCUGGGAGUGCAGCAGCUCCCAAGGGUGGGGCUGCCCGCCCAUUAAAGGGGAACGUGAGCUGGGUUUAGACCGUCGUGAGACAGGUCGGACUCUACCCGCGGGGGGUGUGGGCCGCCUGAGGGGAAGGUGCCCUCAGUACGAGAGGAACGGGGCGCCGCGGCCAAUGGUGUACCGGUUGUCCGGCAGGGCAUAGCCGGGCACGCCAGCCGUAGGGGGUAACCGCUGAAAGCAUCUAAGCGGGAACCCCUCCCCGAAAAGAGGCGGCCGUCCGCCGAAGGGGUUUCCUCUUCGGCGGGUAGGGCUCCCGUAGAAGACGGGGUUGAUGGGGCGGGGGUGUAAGCCCCGAGGGAGCAUUGUCUCCCAAGGGGUUUAGCCCGCCGCUCCCAAAAGCCCGACGCCGCAGGC